AUUGAACGCUGGCGGUAGGCCUAACACAUGCAAGUCGAACGCGAAAGUCCUUCGGGAUGAGUAGAGUGGCGGACGGGGGAGUAACGCGUAGGAAUCUAUCCUGUAGUGGGGGAUAACGUUUCGACAGGAACGCUAAUACCGCAUACGCCCCCAGGGGGACAGCGGGGGAUCUUCGGACCUCGUGCUAUAGGAGUAGCCUGCGUCGGAUUAGCUAGUUGGUGAGGUAAAGGCUCACCAAGGCGACGAUCCGUAGCUGGUCUGAGAGGAUGAUCAGCCACACCGGGACUGAGACACGGUCCGGACUCCUACGGGAGGCAGCAGUGGGGAAUAUUGCGCAAUGGGCGAAAGCCUGACGCAGCCAUACCGCGUGUGUGAAGAAGGCCUUCGGGUUGUAAAGCACUUUCAGUGGGGAGGAAAAGCUGGUGGCUAAUAUCCAUCGGCCGUGACGCUACCCACAGAAGAAGCACCGGCUAAUUCCGUGCCAGCCGCCGCGGUAAUAC
rnacentral:rRNA from 1 species